rnacentral:piRNA from 1 species
CUGUGGUUCAGGAGGAGGGGAAUUUCCUGC